rnacentral:rRNA from 1 species
CACCCGCAGCACAAGUGGUGGUCAUUAUUAUUGGGCCUAAAGCGUCCGUAGCUUGCGUGUUAGAUGCCUGGGUAAAUCGAUGGGCUUAACCCAUCGAAUUCCGGGUAGACCGGCACGCUCGAGACCGGGAGAGGUGUAGGGUACUCGGGGGGUAGGGGUAAAAUCCUGUAAUCCUCCGGGGACGACCAGUGGCGAAGGCGCUACACUAGAACGGCUCUGACAGUGAGGGACGAAGCCCUGGGGCGCAAACCGG